rnacentral:rRNA from 1 species
AGCAGCCGCGGUAAUUCCAGCUCCAAUAGCGUAUAUUAAAGUUGUUGCAGUUAAAAAGCUCGUAGUUGAAUUUCGGGAUCAAUAUAUUGGUCAUGCUUAGGUAUGUACUGGUAUUAUUGAUUUCUCCCUUCUGAAGAACCAUAAUGUCAUUAAUUUGAUGUCGUGGGGAAUCAGGACUGUUACUUUGAAAAAUUAGAGUGUUUAAAGCAGGCUUUCGCUUGAAUACAUUAGCAUGGAAUAAUGAAAUAGGACGUUUGAUUCUAUUUUGUUGGUUUCUAGGAUCGACGUAAUGAUUAAUAGGGAUAGUUGGGGGCAUUAGUAUUCAAUUGUCAGAGGUGAAAUUCUUGGAUUUAUUGAAGACUAACUACUGCGAAAGCAUUUGCCAAGGAUGUUUUCAUUAAUCAAGAACGAAAGUUAGGGGAUCGAAGACGAUCAGAUACCGUCGUAGUC